rnacentral:rRNA from 1 species
UUAAUUAAGAGUUUGAUCUUGGCUCAGGAUGAACGCUGGCGGCGUGCUUAACACAUGCAAGUCGAGCGAGAA